rnacentral:tRNA from 1 species
GGGAACGUGGCUCAGUGGUAGAGCGCUUGCCUUGCAUGCAUGAGGUCCUGGGUUCAAUUCCUCAGCACCA